AUGCCAAACACUCUUGGACACAAAAUUCAAAGCGAAGUGACUGUUCAGAUUGCCGCUUUAGAGCCUUUAGUGAAGAGUGUCUGUUCAGCCGAUAUACGCUUCUUCCUAUGCUCUGUCCAUACCCCUCAGUGUGGGGGAGGUGUAGUACAGCAUCCUUGCAGAUCUCUCUGUGAGCGUGUCAAACGGCAGUGUCAGAGUCUGUUGGAAAAACUUGGCUUGUCAUGGCCGCAUCAACUGACUUGUGACUCCUUUCCUGAGGAGUCAUGUAUAAGUGAAGAUAGCAAAACUGAGGAACUCACAGCCGAAGAAGUUCUUGCCAAGCUGAAUAAGCUUGACUAUUACAUCAGGGAUCAAGAAAUAAGUCUUCAGACUGCCCGUACAUUUUUGGCUUUUAUGGAUAAAGAUAAAUCGGGUAAACUGGAUGUAGCAGAGUUUUCUGAGCUGGAACAUUGUGUCAACUAUGAAGACGGAAUUCAUAGACUCUUAUGAGUUGAAGAAUCUUGGUUUUGUCACAAAACUGCAAAUGAAAAAUGCCCUUACUGUCCGUGACUUUAUCCUGGAUGAUGAAACCUUCAAAACGCUGUGGGACAGAUACACUACAGGUGACGGGAUUAGAUAUGACGACUUUAUGGCCAUUCUGACCAAACUCAAGAUUUUAAAAGAUGGCUUCAAAUCCAAUCUUCUCAGUCUGCCAUGUGAGUGUGAGGUUGCUAGCUUCCACUUCAAUCGGUUCAUUCAGGUAACUUUUGUGUGAACCAGUCUGGGAUGCAAGCUUUGUCCUCAAACAUUUCAAGUUUGGAUUGCAAUGAAAAUUACACUUAUGAAAUGUGCUGGGUGUUACGUCUUAGGAGGUCUUGUUAAAGGAUGAUUGUCAAACUGAGACAAUUGUGAGUGAAAAGAUUCACAAUCAUUAACAUCAAACCAAUUAUGUCUAAGUUAUAGGCUACUGCCGAAAAUGCUGAUUGAUCAUUUUAGAUGAGAAACACAAAACCUUUUCAUGGAGCAAGAUUAAUAUAUCCUCCUGUGUACUGGGUGGAGUGUUUAAAGCUCUCUAACAACAAUGACAACAUUACUAUUCUAUAUUAACUGUGAUAUCAUGUUCUCAAACCUACACAUAACAUAUCAAAACUAACUCCUUAUAUCAAAACUAACU